rnacentral:sRNA from 1 species
UUAUAAACCCGAUUGAAAUGAAAAGCCCACAGCGUAGCGAGGACUUGUAAUGAAAAGCGGGACAGUAA